GGGAGAGAAGAAAGAAGUUUCCCAUCAGCGAGACCCCAAAACACGGCUCCGGGCAGGCGAGAGGAGAGAAGAAAGAAGUCUCCCAUCGCCGAGACCUCCACCCCGGAGACCCCCAGCCGCGGAGGGAAGGCGACCACCGAGGGGAAAACUUUUCUUUCUUUAGAGCGACGCUGUAAGCUGAUACGCCUCGGUUCAGGAGGAAUAAUGUUCUGCACGGGGGGAGAAGGAGGAUUUGCGUCACAUACGAAGCAAUUCAAGAAUGGUAACUGAGACUCUGACGUGCUUCCGAAUGCCAGAACUUCAACCAAAAUGAGCCCUGUGAACUGGCAGGCAAGGAGCAAGUGACAGACCCUCAUCCACAGGACCAGCUUUUGGAAGAGCAAUACUAGCUUAAAAGACCUGACAGCCUGUUUGUUGCAUUUUGAGAUGUUAGGUAGAGAUUUUCACAGGUACCCAAAUCUUGCUGAGCUGGGGGUGACAGGUCAUCCAUCGAGAGCCUGAAACACCCUUCGCAGUUACCUGGGAAGAAUUUCAAUGCCCCGUGUUGUGUGCAAACCUGUACAAGUUAGGCAUGGAUGAAGGAAGGAAAAAAGUUAUGCCAGCUGGAAAAGCACAGUUUCUUAUGGCUGUUAUUUUCUUUCUAAUUUCUGUAUUUUGGCCCAAAUCCCACUUGGUGCUGGUGAUGAGGGAAGGCUCCAAAUUCCAGUGACUGCUUUUAUUUCAUCGUUACAGAAUUCUAACGACAAUUUGACUUUGGAAUAACAGAGGGGUUUUGUUCUUUUAAUGGAAGGACAAUGUUGUUAGAAUAACUUGUCUCCCUCAAAGCCCAGCAACUGAACUGAAGCCCUUCCUUUUUCUGCAGCAGCCUUAAAAUAUUAAAGCGAAAUUAAUAACGCUGAUAUCACCACCAGCAGCAUGAGGUGAACUUGGCCGCAACCCCGGGUGUUUGAGUGCAACUGCUUUUAUUCUCUCUCAGCAAAUAUGGCAAAUCACACCAACGCUUGUUUGGUUUUAGGCAGGCCUGGUCAAAAUCCAGAAAUAAAUGCUAGCACUGGGUUGAGCUUGGCUUGCUGCGAGGAAGUUGAAUACACUGAGCAAGCAAACAGCUAUUUAUUAUGAUGAUUAUGGGGGAGUGCGUAACGGGUUGAAAUUGAGAGUCACAAAGGGCUGAACUGAGCCAGGAGCAUCCAGAAAGAAACUAUUUUGGCUCCGAGCUGCAGUAUGUCCCCUGUUUCCUUCUUACCCCUUCCACCCAGCCUUACAUGGAGCCAAGGAGUGUGGAUAGUUCUUUGCUGCCAAUUUUGAAAGUUUUUUUUUUAUUUCUUCUUUUACUGUUGGUAACCUGAUUUCUUGGCUGCAGUCUCAUGAGAUGAGAGAAGCUCUCACUUUCACUUGUUUUUCAGCCCUGCCCAGAAGUUCUCGUUGGCUGUCUUUUAUACUUUCCAGCUUCUGAGGAGGAACUUGGGUCUUCUGCCUGCCUCUGUUAUCGUUUUCUUUUCCCUCUUCUUCCACCCUCUCCCAUCUGCUAGCCCAGGUCUCCUGGCCAGCCAGAUGCUCCUUGGUUCUGAUGUAUUUGUUUGAAUUUGGUUGUUUCUGUGGCCUAGCAAUAGUGGCACUUCUCCUGUGGGCCUUCCCAGCUAUUUCUCUUUUGUGGGUGGGAAUGCCAGCCCAGAGAGGCCCAGAAUAAGGCAUAAAGGCUGCUCCUGACUUAUUCAAACCCUUCUUGGAAGACGAAGCUGCAUGUGUUUUGCUUCUAGCAUGAAACGUUAGUGAAGCAGGGCUGGAGUUUCCUUCAGUGUCUAUCACUUACAUUCGCUUGCUGUGGAUGGGUGUCUGGCCGCCUUCAGGUCAGUGCAAGGAAUUCAGAAAUCACUCGGAGCCAAGGAGUUUGCAACACGUGUGUCAUUCAGUAAAAACUGCAUCAUUCAGUAUCCUACCUGUGGCCUUACACAGCAUAUAACCGGUCUGAAGUCGAGACCUCCUACAGGUAUGGUUCUUGUCUAGGGAGCUUUGUGAGUGAAGAAUUUUGGUCCUAUUGUAGAAAGGUAUUGAGAUGGGAUUUCUCCUGCCAAGUCACUUCCAUGGGAAGUCUCUAGCUGUGGAGUCAGGCUGAGAAAUGCAGCUCUGUCAGUCCUACAGCUCACUGCCUAGCUGAUCCUGGUGCAGCUCCAGGUUAAAAUUUAGGUGCUCUUUGGUAGUUGCUUUUUCACCUAUUGAUUUGCUUGCAUACAGAGUUAAGUGAGCAUCCCGAAGACUGUUCCUGGCCAAUUUAUUUUAACUUCUUGCUUGUUAACCUGCUUGUGUUAGAGGCAUACUGACCUUUGAGCUUAGCCUAUCUUGCCUCUAAGGCUCUGCAAACAACCGGUCUCCAAGCCAAGUUACUUCUCUGGCUGUCUUAAAUGUACACAGUAUCAUACAUGUAUGGUACCAAACCCAGGUUUGUUUAAGUAUUUUAUCUGGCUGAAUGCUGGACCUCAUGGCAAAGGCCUUUCUGUACUGACUCAGAGAAUUUCUGCUCUGUCAUUAAUCCUUUGAAUAACUCCUUACUUUGAUUAUAGUGGGCUGGACAUUUUUUAUUUCUUUGCUGGCACUCACAGCUGAUAAUAGUCUGCAUAUGUUUUUUGAUUAUAGUCCUUGUUCUGGUUUUGGGGUUGCUUUGCAUCUUGGACUGGUUUGGAGUUCUUAUUUUUAGUCUGUACUGAACUAUGUAUGCAUGAAAUCACACGGAUUUGGAGCUGACACUUUCCAACAGUCAUCACUUACUCCUUUUACCUUUCUGACAGUAUCUGUGGAAUUUACAGCGUUCCUCAUUCUUGAAAUGACAAAUUAUUGUAAUAACAAUAAAUAGACACCAUUUUCACAGGC